AGAGUUUGAUCCUGGCUCAGGAUGAACGCUGGCGGUCUGCUUAACACAUGCAAGUCGAACGGGCUCUUUCGGGAGCUAGUGGCGGACGGGUGAGUAACGCGUGAGAAUCUGCCAAAAGGACUGGGACAACCACUGGAAACGGUGGCUAAUACCGGAUGAGCCGCAACGUAAAAGAGGAAACUCGCCUUUUGAGGAGCUCGCGUCUGAUUAGCUAGUUGGUGAGGUAAGAGCUCACCAAGGCAUCGAUCAGUAGCUGGUCUGAGAGGAUGAUCAGCCACACUGGGACUGAGACACGGCCCAGACUCCUACGGGAGGCAGCAGUGGGGAAUUUUCCGCAAUGGGCGAAAGCCUGACGGAGCAAGACCGCGUGAGGGAGGAAGGCUCUUGGGUUGUAAACCUCUUUUGUCAGGGAAGAACACAAUGACGGUACCUGAAGAAUCAGCAUCGGCUAACUCCGUGCCAGCAGCCGCGGUAAUACGGGGGAUGCAAGCGUUAUCCGGAAUUAUUGGGCGUAAAGCGUCCGCAGGUGGCUAAUCAAGUCUGCUGUCAAAGGUUGGGGCUUAACCCCAAAAAGGCAGUGGAAACUGAGAAGCUAGAGUGCAGUAGGGGUAGAGGGAAUUCCCGGUGUAGCGGUGAAAUGCGUAGAGAUCGGGAAGAACAUCGGUGGCGAAAGCGCUCUACUGGACUGCAACUGACACUCAGGGACGAAAGCUAGGGGAGCGAAUGGGAUUAGAUACCCUAGUAGUCC
rnacentral:rRNA from 1 species